rnacentral:tRNA from 1 species
GGACCCUUAGCUCAGUCGGUUAGAGCACGAGACUCAUAAUCUUGUGGUCGCUGGUUCGAUCCCAGCAGGGUCCA